CUACGUGCCAGCAGCCGCGGUAAUACGGAAGGUCCUGGCGUUAUCCGGAUUUAUUGGGUUUAAAGGGAGCGUAGGCCGUGGAUUAAGCGUGUUGUGAAAUGCAGGUGCUCAACGUCUGCACUGCAGCGCGAACUGGUCCACUUGAGUGUGCGCAACGCAGGCGGAAUUCGUCGUGUAGCGGUGAAAUGCUUAGAUAUGACGAAGAACUCCGAUUGCGAAGGCAGCUUGCGGGAGCACAACUGACGCUGAAGCUCGAAAGUGCGGGUAUCGAACAGGAUUAGAUACCCUGGUAGUCCGCACGGUAAACGAUGGAUGCCCGUUGUCAGGCUGUUUCAGCCUGGUGACCAAGCGAAAGCAUUAAGCAUCCCACCUGGGGAGUACGCCGGCAACGGUGAAACUCAAAGGAAUUGACGGGGGCCCGCACAAGCGGAGGAACAUGUGGUUUAAUUCGAUGAUACGCGAGGAACCUUACCCGGGCUUGAAUUGCAGACGAACGAUUCAGAGAUGAUGAGGC
rnacentral:rRNA from 1 species